CUCCUCUCAGGGUCGAACCUGGAGAGUUUCCAGUACUCUACUAGUCUCGGCUACAGGAGGGAGAGUCGAGCAGAGGCCUAUCCAUUCCAUUCUUAGCUUUGGCAGUGGCUAGUGAGUGGAAGGCUGUCUGCUAUAAGU